GACGAACGCUGGCGGCGUGCCUAAUACAUGCAAGUCGAGCGGACGGAUGGGAGCUUGCUCCCAGACCGUCAGCGGCGGACGGGUGAGUAACACGUGGGCAACCUGCCUGUAAGACUGGGAUAACUCCGGGAAACCGGGGCUAAUACCGGAUAACUCUUUCCCUCACAUGAGGGAAAGCUGAAAGAUGGCAUCUCGCUAUCACUUACAGAUGGGCCCGCGGCGCAUUAGCUAGUUGGUGAGGUAACGGCUCACCAAGGCGACGAUGCGUAGCCGACCUGAGGGGGUGAUCGGCCACACUGGGACUGAGACACGGCCCAGACUCCUACGGGAGGCAGCAGUAGGGAAUCUUCCGCAAUGGACGAAAGUCUGACGGAGCAACGCCGCGUGAGUGAUGAGGGUUUUCGGAUCGUAAAACUCUGUUGUCAGGGAAGAACAAGUACCGGAGUAACUGCCGGUACCUUGACGGUACCUGACCAGAAAGCCACGGCUAACUACGUG
rnacentral:rRNA from 1 species